rnacentral:lncRNA from 12 species
AUGGGACCCCCACCACCACCAGGCACUUUUUUCACUUUCCACCACCGAGAACCCGAUGCCUUCCUUUCCCACUCGAUCAGAUUGAUCAGUAAAAUUGCAGAUGUGAACGCUCGUGAUAGAUUUUCUUGGAAUCUUAGGGUUCGAAUAAAUUGCAGAUGGAAUAAUCCCGAUUCCCGGGGAAAUCCGACACCCGGGCCGUGUGCGCGCAAAGCGAAAGUAGGAGCCCAGAAGCGCGGCAGGGAAGCGGGCGAGGUCAGCCCGGUGCCCGCGGUCGCCGAGCGCGCAGCCCGGGGACAGCCGCCAGCCGGGCCGCCGACCCAGGCCAGACGCCCGGGCGGCCGCGCUCAGUUCCCAGGGCUCCCAAGAAAGGCCCGGCCUCCCCUCCCGUCUCCUGCCAGGAGCGGAGUUCGGGUGGGAGGAAUGCCCGAGCAUCCUCUCGGGUUAGACAGCCUGCGUCCCCGCUCCAAGGAGACCCCGGGGGAUGGCGGGACCGGCCGGCGAGGCGCAGAGGGCGCAGAGGGCGCAGAGGGCCCGAGGCCCCGGAGGCGGCCCCCUCCCGGCGCCGCGGCGUGGCCGUGCCCCGCACACAGCGUCGCUGCACCGCCACGACGGCCCGGGAAGCACCUCCAUGGAGCAGGACAAAAAAGCAGCCCUCAAGAUGGAGCCCACGCAGGGGGAAUCUCAGAGAAAGCCCACCCAUCCCUGAUCAGUUCUGAUGCUAUCUCUGGGUUUGUGAUGGAAGGACUGAGAUUUCUCUGACCUUGGACCCUUGAAGAGUCUAUAGGAAGGGAAGCAGGUCUUGGCCGCAAAGCCCUUGACAUGCAUCCGGGCUCCACCAAGAAACCACCGUUUCCCAAUGACAUUGGGGGAAGUCCCCUGCAUCUUCAGUUUCCUCAUCUGCCCAAGGGAGGAGGAUUGUAAAGAAGACUCUUAACAUCUCCAACCCGGGGCUCUAAGUGUGAGGGAAGGCAGCACACGGAGAUUCUUGGACUUCAAAGGACCCUGGGGGCACUUAGUUUCACCUUGAGAAAGGUGCACAUCUCUUUCUGAAAUGCGGUCCUUUGCUAAGCAGUUUGGUAGUAGAAUUAGGCACGCAGACCCUGGAAACAGGCUAUCCAGGCUCAAAUCUGACCUAGACCUGCAGUAUACUACCCAUGUGACCUUGGGCUACUUUUACUCAGUCUCUCUGUGCCUCAAUUUCCUCAUCUCUGAAAUGGAGAUUAAUAGCAACACCUAUCUCACAGGGCACUGGAGGGUUUAACUGAGCUCCUGCAUGUAAAGCACUUAGAAGCAUGCCUGGCACAGGGUAGCUGUUCCUAUGAGUUGCCCAAACCUCUGGAUGCAACCUCAGCCCUUGCCAGUCUUCUUGGUUCUCCUCCACUGACUGCCAUCAUUUCUGUCCCAGCACCAGUGCCAGGAUCUCUGCCUCCUCUAGGUCCCAGCUCCUGCAGGAAUGGGAUGGAGGAGGGCAGGACGCCUGUGAAUUGCCUGCUUGAUGAGUACUUUGUCGGAGGAAUCUCUUUGUGCCAGUGCUUUACUUAUUUUCUGCUAGGGAAGGAAGUGGAGUCAGUGUCUCUUCCUUUCUCCUCAAUCCUACCCAGAGAUGAGCCAGCUGCACGAAAACCUGUGCCCUUGGCUUUAAGGAGGAAGAGAGGGAGGAAGAUCUAGUUGAUCCAUCCCCACCAGGAAGGAUCCUGUUCAGAGGCAGGUAGUUUACUGCACAGAAGUAUUAAUGUUACUCUCUCUCUCUCUCUCCACACACACACACACACACACACACGCACACGCACACACUCACACUCACACCAGCUCCCUGAGGGCAGGAACUCUUCUGUUGUGUAUUCUGCUGUAUCCCAGCGCCUUAAAAUAUUGUCUGGCACAGAACAAGCACCUCAAUAAAUAAUCAAUAGAAGGACCA